rnacentral:rRNA from 1 species
CUGAUCUCAAAUCAGGUAGGAAUACCCGCUGAACUUAAGCAUAUCAAUAAGCGGAGGAAAAGAAACUAACAAGGAUUCCCCUAGUAACGGCGAGUGAAGCGGGAAGAGCUCAAAUUUAAAUCUGGCAGUGUAUNCUGUCCGAGUUGUAGUCUAGAGANGCGUCAUCCGCGCUGGACNAUGUACAAGUCUCUNGA